ACCUCAGUAACGGCGAGUGAAGCGGUAACAGCUCAAAUUUGAAAUCUGGGCCUUUCAGGCUCCGAGUUGUAAUUUGUAGAAGAUGCUUUGGGUGCGGCCCCGGUCUAAGUUCCUUGGAACAGGACGUCAUAGAGGGUGAGAAUCCCGUAUGUGAUCGGUGGCUUGCGCCCGUGUAAAGCUCUUUCGACGAGUCGGGUUGUUUGGGAAUGCAGCUCUAAAUGGGUGGUAAAUUUCAUCUAAAGCUAAAUAUUGGCCAGAGACCGAUAGCGCACAAGUAGAGUGAUCGAAAGAUGAAAAGCACUUUGGAAAGAGAGUUAAACAGUACGUGAAAUUGUUGAAAGGGAAGCGCUUGCAACCAGACUUGCGCGGGGCUGAUCAUCCGGGGUUCUCCCCGGUGCACUCGGCCUCGCUCAGGCCAGCAUCGGUUUUGGUGGCUGGAUAAAGGCCUUGGGAAUGUAGCUCCUCUCGGGGAGUGUUAUAGCCCUCGGUGCAAUGCAGCCUACCGGGACCGAGGACCGCGCUUCGGCUAGGAUGCUGGCGUAAUGGUUGUAAGCGACCCGUCUUGAAACACGGACCAAGGAGUCUAACAUCUAUGCGAGUGUUUGGGUGUCAAACCCAUACGCGUAAUGAAAGUGAACGGAGGUGAGAACCCUUAAGGGUGCAUCAUCGACCGAUCCUGAUGUCUUCGGAUGGAUUUGAGUAAGAGCAUAGCUGUUGGGACCCGAAAGAUGGUGAACUAUGCCUGAAUAGGGUGAAGCCAGAGGAAACUCUGGUGGAGGCUCGCAGCGGUUCUGACGUGCAAAUCGAUCGUCAAAUUUGGGUAUAGGGGCGAAAGACUAAUCGAACCAUCC
rnacentral:rRNA from 1 species